ACGGGUGAGUAACACGUGAGCAAUCUGCCCCUGACUCUGGGAUAAGCGCUGGAAACGGCGUCUAAUACCGGAUACGAGCUGCGAAGGCAUCUUCAGCAGCUGGAAAGAAUUUCGGUCAGGGAUGAGCUCGCGGCCUAUCAGCUUGUUGGUGAGGUAACGGCUCACCAAGGCGUCGACGGGUAGCCGGCCUGAGAGGGUGACCGGCCACACUGGGACUGAGACACGGCCCAGACUCCUACGGGAGGCAGCAGUGGGGAAUAUUGCACAAUGGGCGAAAGCCUGAUGCAGCAACGCCGCGUGAGGGACGACGGCCUUCGGGUUGUAAACCUCUUUUAGCAGGAAAGAAGCGAAAGUGACGGUACCUGCAGAAAAAGCGCCGGCUAACUACGUGCCAGCAGCCGCGGUAAUACGUAGGGCGCAAGCGUUAUCCGGAAUUAUUGGGCGUAAAGAGCUCGUAGGCGGUCUGUCGCGUCUGCUGUGAAAACCCGAGGCUCAACCUCGGGCCUGCAGUGGGUACGGGCAGACUAGAGUGCGGUAGGGGAGAUUGGAAUUCCUGGUGUAGCGGUGGAAUGCGCAGAUAUCAGGAGGAACACCGAUGGCGAAGGCAGAUCUCUGGGCCGUAACUGACGCUGAGGAGCGAAAGGGUGGGGAGCAAACAGGCUUAGAUACCCUGGUAGUCCACCCCGUAAACGUUGGGAACUAGUUGUGGGGUCCAUUCCACGGAUUCCGUGACGCAGCUAACGCAUUAAGUUCCCCGCCUGGGGAGUACGGCCGCAAGGCUAAAACUCAAAGGAAUUGACGGGGACCCGCACAAGCGGCGGAGCAUGCGGAUUAAUUCGAUGCAA
rnacentral:rRNA from 1 species